AAUGAACGCUGGCGGCAGGCCUAUCACUUGCAAGUCGAACGGAUCCUUCGGGAUUAGUGGCGGACGGGUGAGUAACGCGUGGGAACAUACCCUUUGGUACGGAAUAGCCUCGGGAAACUGGGAGUAAUACCGUAUGUGGUCGAGAGACGAAAGAUUUAUCGCCAAAGGAUUGGCCCGCGUUGGAUUAGGUAGUUGGUGGGGUAAUGGCCUACCAAGCCGACGAUCCAUAGCUGGUUUGAGAGGAUGAUCAGCCACACUGGGACUGAGACACGGCCCAGACUCCUACGGGAGGCAGCAGUGGGUAAUCUUAGACAAUGGGGGAAACCCUGAUCUAGCCAUGCCGCGUGAUCGAUGAAGGCCUUAGGGUUGUAAAGAUCUUUCAGGUGGGAAGAUAAUGACUGUACCACCAGAAGAAGCCCCGGCUAACUCCGUGCCAGCCGCCGCCGUAA
rnacentral:rRNA from 1 species